rnacentral:rRNA from 1 species
UACGUAGGUGACCAGCGUUGUCCGGAUUUACUGGGCGUAAAGGGCGCGUAGGCGGUCAGCACAAGUCAGUUGUGAAAUCUCCGGGCUUAACCCGGAAAGGUCAAUCGAUACUGCGGGGCUAGAGUGCAGAAGGGGCAACUGGAAUUCUCGGUGUAGCGGUGAAAUGCGUAGAUAUCGAGAGGAACACCUGCGGCGAAGGCGGGUUGCUGGGCUGACACUGACGCUGAAGCGCGAAAGCUAGGGGAGCGAACGGG